GACGAACGCUGGCGGCGUGCUUAACACAUGCAAGUCGAACGGAAAGGCCCUGCUUUUGUGGGGUGCUCGAGUGGCGAACGGGUGAGUAACACGUGAGUAACCUGCCCUUGACUUUGGGAUAACUUCAGGAAACUGGGGCUAAUACCGGAUAGGAGCUCCUGCUGCAUGGUGGGGGUUGGAAAGUGUCGGCGGUUGGGGAUGGACUCGCGGCUUAUCAGCUUGUUGGUGGGGUAGUGGCUUACCAAGGCUUUGACGGGUAGCCGGCCUGAGAGGGUGACCGGCCACAUGGGGGUGGUGAGAGGGCCCAGACUCCUGCGGGAGGCAGCAGUGGGGAAUAUUGCACAAUGGGCGGAAGCGUGAUGCAGCAACGCCGCGUGGGUGAGGACGGCCUUCGGGUGGUAAGCCGCUUUCGCCUGUGACGAGGCGUGAGGGACGGUAAUGGGUAAAGAAACACCGGCUAACUACGU
rnacentral:rRNA from 1 species